GAGAAAAGUACUAAGGGCACACGGAGGAUGCCAUGGCAUCCGACAGCGAAGAAGGACGUGGCAAGCGACGAAAUGCCCCGGGGAGGUGCAAGCGACCCUAGAUCCGGGGAUGUCCGAAUGGGGCAACCCCUCCGGCUUAGGCCGGAGACCCGCGUAUGCGGGGGCGAAGUCGGCGAAGUGAAACAUCUCAGUAGCCGGACAUAGAAGAAAUCGAAGAGAUACCCUGAGUAGUGGUGAGCGAAAGGGGAGUAGCCUAAACCGAUUGCGUGCAAG
rnacentral:rRNA from 1 species